rnacentral:rRNA from 1 species
GACGAACGCUGGCGGCGUGCUUAACACAUGCAAGUCGAACGGAAAGGCCCUGCUUUUGCGGGGUGCUCGAGUGGCGAACGGGUGAGAAACACGCGAGUAUCCCGCCCUUGACUUUGGGAUAUCUCCAGGAAACUGGGGCUAAAACCGGAUAGGAGCUCUUGCAGCAUGGGGGGGGUUGGAAAGUUUCGGCGGUUGGGGCUGGACUCGCGGCUUAUCAGCUUGUUGGGGGGGUAGUGGCUUACCAAGGCUUUGACGGGUAGCCGGCCUGAGAGGGUGACCGGCCACAUGGGGACUGAGAUACGGCGCAGACUCCAACGGGAGGCAGCAGUGGGGAAUAUUGCACAAUGGGCGGAAGCCUGAUGCGGCAACGCCGCGAGCGGGAUGACGGCCUUCGGGUUGUAAACCGCUUUCGCCUGUGACGAAGCGUGAGUGACGGUAAUGGGUAAAGAAGCACCGGCUAACUACGUG